rnacentral:rRNA from 1 species
UGCCAGACUCCUACGGGAGGCAGCAGUAGGGAAUAUUGCUCAAUGGGGGAAACCCUGAAGCAGCAACGCCGCGUGGAGGAUGAAGGUUUUCGGAUUGUAAACUCCUUUUGUUAGAGAAGAUAAUGACGGUAUCUAACGAAUAAGCACCGGCUAACUCCGUGCCAGCAGCCGCGGUAAUACGGAGGAUGCGAGCGUUAUCCGGAUUUAUUGGGUUUAAAGGGUGCGCAGGCGGGAGAUCAAGUCAGCGGUAAAAUGUCGGGGCUCAACCCCGGCCGGCCGUUGAAACUGGUUUUCUAGAGUUGGAGAGAAGUAUGCGGAAUUCGUGGUGUAGCGGUGAAAUGCAUAGAUAUCACGAAGAACUCCGAUUGCGAAGGCAGCAUACCGGCUCCAUACUGACGCUGAGGCACGAAAGCGUGGGGAUCGAACAGGAUUAGAUACCCCAGUACA